AGCAGGAAGAAGGGAGGGAAAGAAGGGGAAGAACCGAAGUAAACGAAGUGAAGGCAAAUAAUAAACGAACAGAAUCAAAAUAAACCAAGAGAACCGAAAUAAGCAAAUAGAAGGAAGCAAAGCAACUUUAUGAAGCUCCAAAGGGCGGCUUGAGUGGGAGCGUGCUGGCUGUGUGCACAGCUCUGUGCAGAGCUCAGGGCUCGGAAUGGAGCCAGAAAGUUGGAUGUUGUCACAAUGAAAGGAGUUCAUGCCAGCCCGGUGGCUGGAGGUGCAUUGCUUCAAUAAAAUGCAUGUAAAAAGCAUGCUUUUCCACCAGGCCCAUAGUGGUCCCCCAGCUGCCAUUGCAGCCCUCCAUCACCAAGGGGAUGGCAGCCCCCUGGUGCCCCAUGGCUGAGCUGUGGUCCCUCUGUGUGUCACUGCCAUGCGCAGAGCAGCGCUGGGUCCCAGCCAACAGGACAAGCCCAGGCCGGCCGUGUCUCUAUGGCCGUCCUGGAGACAUCAGUGAGCAGGAGAAGGACGCAGAGAGAUGGAGAGGAGAGCACCGAGGAGAGGAACAAAACGGGGAGGCUCGGGGGCUGCCACGGUGCCAGGCAGGCGUCGGGGAGCCAAGGGCUGCACACGGGGCCUGGAGAUGCCAGCAGAGCAGAGCAGCGCUGCCAUGCGAGGAGCAGGGAAACACCACGGCAAAGCCAAAAAGCAGAAACGUCGCUCUGCUGCACACCGUGAGGACUUCAGCCAUGGGAAGGGCUCUGACUCAGCCCAAAGAAACAGCAAAGGGGCUCAGGUGGGCACAAAGGUCAGCACGGUUUCAUCAUCAGCCUCCACCAUUUCUGGCCAAACAGAGCUCAGCCUUUCUGCUCAGUUUAAUGAGAGCCUGCGGUGGGAUGGGAUCCUGGAGGACCCUGCAGCAGAGGAGGAGAGGCUGCAAACCUACAGGCUGAACAGAAGGCAGCGAUACGGGCUGUACCUGCAGCAUCACCACCCCACAGCCAGGCAGCCCCCAUCACCGCGCUCCCAUCACACACAGCAUUGCUGCAGUUCUUUUCCAAGGCAGCAAACUGCUCCUAAAUACUAAGGAAGCCCCAUAGCCCUGAGCUUCAGCCUCAGCAGCUCUCAGCGAGCUCUGCAGCUCAGCACCCAUUGCUUACCGGUUUACAAGCACACAAAGAAUGAGAGAUUUGCAGGGGAAGGAUAGAUUAUGUAUUUAUUUCUAUGCAAACACUGUAAUAACCACAGAAAAGCUUUGAGUGAAAAAGGAACUAAAGAUGACGAGGUCUCCCUGUGUUAAGCUUUUCAGGUGGUUUAUUAACAGUGAAGUAAAAGACAACUGAAAAUGAGAGGAGGGGGGGGACAAACUCCACAGCCAUCAGAGCGCUUGCACAGAGCUGACCAGAGCUUUGCAGAUGUUGGAGCAUAAA